rnacentral:rRNA from 1 species
GGACUACUGGGGUAUCUAAUCCUGUUUGCUCCCCUAGCUUUCGUUCCUCAGCGUCAGUUGCGGUCCAGCCAGCCGCCUUCGCCACGGGUGUUCCUGCAGAUAUCUACGCAUUUCACCGCUACACCUGCAAUUCCACUGGCCUCUCCCGCACUCAAGCACGGCAGUUUCGGGAGCAGCCCCUGAGUUAAGCCCAGAGAUUUCACUUCCGACUUGCCGCACCGCCUACGAACCCUUUACGCCCAGUAAUUCCGAGCAACGCUGGCCCCCUACGUCUUACCGCGGCUGCUGGCAC